UAAAAACGAAGUAGGUCAGUACGAUUUGGAAGUAACCACGUUUCAGUUGGCUGUGUUGUUUGCAUGGAACCAAAGACCUAGAGAGAAAAUCAGCUUUGAGAAUCUAAAACUUGCAACGGAACUCCCUGAUGCUGAACUUAGAAGGACUUUAUGGGUUUGUUUUAUUUUCUGUUUGGCUUUGUUUUUAAAAUGUGUCAUAUAGCUGGGGAUAUGUAGAUGGCUCCUAAAAAUUGGAG
rnacentral:lncRNA from 1 species